UGGAAGAAAUCACAGAGAGUCUGCAGGAGAACAUAUGUCUUAGGAAGAUUUAGUCUGAAGAGUUAGUGCUUAAUGUGAGAGAUGAGAGGAAGAAGACAAUGAUUCUAGAAUAGACCAGAGAAAGGGCUGAUUUGUUGACUGACUUUGGAUGUCACUUUGAACUUUUCUUAUCCUGAAAGGGAUCUGAACUAGCUGCUCCUCAGCUGGAGGGCUGAAUUUUGCACAAAGGCAGAUAGGUGAGGAUACCUCCAAUGAGAAGCUCUGAUGAUAGAGGUUAUUUCAAUCUGGCAUCCUGAAGAGACGCAAACAAAGCACUGAACUCGGGGUUGCAUUCUGGCUAAGAACUAGCCAGCCAUGCUGGAAGAUCAACUGUGGACUGAGAAAUACUCAUGUUGGGCACCCCCACAUGUAUAAUUGGGACCAAAGUUUGGUGUUCCAUUAGCCUUUCCAAGCCCAGGCAUGACAUCAGCAGAUCCACCAAUCUUGCUUUAAUUUGCGCUGCACAGGGAUACUGGAGACACUGCAGAACGACAAGCACAUCUACAACUACAUCGAUCCACCAGGGCUCUGCCAUCCUGAGAAAUGUCCUUACUCUGGAGGAGGAAUCACUACUGAUAUCUCGGGAGCAGUUUCAUCUCAACCCAUUGGGCAGGAGUGCCCUGAUGCUGAUGGUACCACUGCUACCCGUGGAACCAUCCUUGGAAUCAGAGUAGAUAGUGGCACCAGUAUCUCAACGAAGUCAUAGGAGCCCCAAAAGACAGUUGAGAAGCUAUGCUUACCGUCCCUUUGGAUAUGAACCCCUCCCGCCCCCCAGGGACAGUUGGUACUGAUUCCCUUGGGGGCCACCAUGACUGAUGGAAUCCUCCUUCUGAUCUUAUUGGGGACCUUGGAGGCCCUAUGGUAGGCACCCGCAUCCCUCUCAAGAGUUGUACCAAUCUUCCUGCUCUUGUUAGCCAGUCCUGUCAGUGUACAAGGAGGAAGAGCUGGGACAGGUAUAGAUGGUUCUGACACAGGCUUCCUCAUCACCUCUGGAUGACUCCAUCGCUACUUUGUUGCCUUCUCUGCUAGAUAUCCACCCUCAGUAUCAGGAAUUGUUGAAAAGGGUUGCUAAUGACCUAUAGAUCCCACUGGAAGAAGUCCAGGACCCUCAACGCCAGUUCCUGGGCAUUUUGCAACCACAAGGACUGACCAGAUUAGCAAGGCUGUAUUAGAACCAGCCAGAGUGGUUAGGCACACACCAGAUCUUGUGCCCCUACACCAAAAAGAGCCAAAAGACAUUAUUUUGUUCCUAACAAAGGAGAUAACUUUUUAUUUUCCAAUCCUGCCCCUAAUUUGUUGGUGUUACAGGUGGCUAUGGGAAGAACUUGAUCAUGCUACCAGAAAUCCAGCCUCGCAGAGAAGGGCCCAAAGACAAUGGACCACCUGAGUAGGAAGAUCUCUUCCUCUACAUGUAGU